GGACCCUACGGGGGCAGCAGUGGGGAAUAUUGCGCAAUGGGCGAAAGCCUGACGCAGCGACGCCGCGUGAGGGAUGGAGGUCUUCGGAUCGUAAACCUCUGUCAGCAGGGAAGAACGGUCACUGUGCUAAUCAGCAGUGAAUUGACGGUACCUGCAAAGGAAGCACCGGCUAACUCCGUGCCAGCAGCCGCGGUAAUACGGAGGGUGCGAGCGUUAAUCGGAAUUACUGGGCGUAACGCGCACGUAGGCGGUAUGUCAAGUCAAGGGUGAAAUCCCCGCGCUCAACGUGGGAACUGCCUUUGAAA
rnacentral:rRNA from 1 species